CUUGUAUCUCCUGCAUUCGCAGGCAGAUUCUUUACCACUUGUGGCACCUGAGAAGGGCUGCUGCUUUUGGGUUGCAGGAGGCAGGGACCAUCUUCAUCUGUCAUUUUUGUGCACAGUUGGGGAUGGUAAGAAGUCACAGACUCUGAGGGACUGGCAGGAACCUUAGAUCUUUUCUUCCCUUUCACUUCUACAGACGUGGAGACAGAGGUCCAGAGAGCUCCAGGACUGAGAAUACCACUCUUGCCCCCUGCUCCCACCCCCCUUUUUUCCCCUUGCUGUACUACUGCUAGGGAAUCUGAGGACUGAGUGAUUAGGUGUAAAAAGGAGCGGGGGGUGGUUGUUCCAGGGCAUUGGAUCUUCAUCACCUCCCUGGUGGUUAUCUGCCCAGACGGGUCUCUGCUUCCUUUCCCAUCUCUGAGGAAGACACCUGCUAGCCCUGGCCCCAAGACUCAAGGUCACUGAGCUUGCUGUUUCCGACUUUUCCCCGGGUCCACUGGGCACCUGCUGACCUGCUGGUUAGUAGCUGUGCAGAUUGAUCUGUCUGAUCUUAAGGCAUGUAAUGGCUCCACCGGCAGGACCAUGGGUCUUGGUGACCCACUUUCUCCCCUGGCCCUUUGGACUCAUCCUCAGACAACUGGUACUAAGAAACUGGACUCGGAGGAGGAAAUGACAACCCAUUCCAGCAUUCUUGCCUGGAGAAUCCCAUGGACAGAGGAGCCUGACGGAUCACAGUCCAUUGGGUCGCAAAGAACUGGACAUGACUGAAGCAUCAAGGCUGUAUAUUGUCACCCUGCUUAUUUA
rnacentral:lncRNA from 1 species